CGAACCGGUGUUAAAGGGGUCUUUAACCCCGGGCCGCAAAAAGGCCGAGGUUUUUGGCCAUUUUGAGCAUCGACCAAUGCCUCAUUCUGUAGUAGUGACACUGUUAUCGAAACUAUUUUUAGAUGGGCUAAGCGAGAGGAGCAUCACAACUGCCUCUAAUAUUAAAGGUCUUGGUAAAUGGAUCUUUGCCAAGGCGUUUUAAAUAUCCGCCUCGAUAAAUUAAAUAAAACAAAAAAAAGAAAACUUGUGGACAAGCAUAGGGAGCCCAUCCACAGGCCGCUUGAGCCCAUCCAUAUAUGCACUGCUGGGAUCUGGCCACCAGAUCUGCGCCAUGUUCUCCGCCAUUGGAGAAGCCGAAUCCAGCC
rnacentral:lncRNA from 1 species